AAAAAAAAAAAAAAAAAAAAAAGAAAGAAAGAAAGAAAGAAUCUCAUGUUUCAAGAAAGUUGUCUAAUUUGUGUUGGGCCGCAUUCAAAGCCAUCCUGGGCCGCUUGUGGACAAACUUACUCUACGUGAUCCAACGCCAGAGGGCACCAUUCACCUAGACUACAAGUGAAUGGCAGCCUGGGGUUUUACAACAUAGCAGCCAUACUGAAGAAUCUGUAAUUUAUCCUGUAGUCAGCAGGGAGAAUAUCUUGUUUUGUGGACACAGUGAGGAAAAGAUCAAAUUGCCUGGGGAAAAAAAAGGUCUAGAAAUAAGUUCUCCAAAUUGUAUAAUAGCAUAACUGGAUGCUUCUCUGAAAUAACCAUACAG
rnacentral:lncRNA from 10 species